UUUCAUAUAUUUUCUGUAUAUUGAACAAUAAAUAAUAGACUUAUCUUUUAUCUUUGAUAAUCAUUAUGUCAUUAUAUUUCAUUAUAACAUUAGAGUGUGCGAAAUAAUAUUACAGACAGAUAUUCGCGUUAUUAUAAUAGCCGAUAAUCUGAUUGUUGCGUUGGUAAUUAUUUAAGCAAAUAAUUAAUUGUUAUAUUAUUGUGUGUUACAGUAUCAUUGCAGCUAUGUAUAACAAACCACAUUUCUGAGAGGAGGAGGAGGUCCGGGAAGGGCAUCGGGUAUCAGCGGAGCAACCUUGGGUGUCAUCGCAGCUUCGUGGCUGAUUAUCUCCGCUCGUUGCGCAUCGGAUCGGUGAGAGCAAAAUAAUUUAAUUAUAAAACAAGAAAAAAUAUUAUUUUUUUCAAAAUUAAAAUUAUUUAAAAAAUAACUUUGUUUACAUAAAAACUAAGAAUAACAUAUUAAUAUAUGAUACAAAAAAAACAUUUUUGUUACAUCAAAAGUGGUCCCUUUCAUGACACUUUCUGUGGGUAAAGUCACCAAUUUUAGCAUUUUUACAUUAUUGCACAGUUCUUGUCCUUUAAUAGAUACCGUGAAACAUUCCAAUACGAUUUUUUGUACGCUUGAUUAUUUCGCAUGCGUGUCAUCUCGCGACGCGUAUAUGAUAACUUUCGAAUUUAUUGCUUUUGCAAAUCUUGACUAACUAUUAAUUUGUAAGAAUUCAAGACUCUCAAGGGACCACACAUCGACGAGUAACAAAGAAUACGCGAUUUAUAACGAGGUUUUUCACGCUUAUGGCUCGUACGUCCACUCCCUGCACUCGAGCACAUCAACUUAAGGUCCUUAUUACGUAAUGUACUAUUAUAUCAAUUCAAUAAGCUUUA